rnacentral:lncRNA from 1 species
UGCUGUUGGAAAUAUGAAAGUCUGUAAAAUGAGGUCUCUCAGCUGGAAAGAAUAUGGGAAAGAGUGAAGAACGAAGAUGAUGCAACUUAUUUAAAGAAGGCUUGGGAGAGUGAGACAAAGAAUUCAGAUCUGAUAUCCAAACCACUGCCUUAAAUUUUCUGUCAAUAACCUUUCAACUUCAUGCUAUGCAAUAAACAUUCAAGCUGGGCAUAAAUACAAAGAAAAGCUGCAGCUGUUUUUAAAAAUGGGUACCUAAGCUCAUGUAUUCAUAGGUAGACAUGAAUAAAUAGCUA